rnacentral:rRNA from 1 species
CUACCCUUGACAUGUCAGGAACCUCGGAGGGAUCUGAGGGUGCCCGAAAGGGAGCCUGAACACAGGUACUGCAUGGCUGUCGUCAGCUCGUGUCGUGAGAUGUUGGGUUAAGUCCCGCAACGAGCGCAACCCUUGAUCUUAGUUGCCAGCACUUCGGGUGGGCACUCUAGGAUGACUGCCGGUGACAAACCGGAGGAAGGUGGGGGUGACGUCAAAUCAUCAUGCCCCUUAUGACCUGGGCUACACACGUACUACAAUGGUCGGUACAACGGGAAGCGAAGCCGCGAGGUGGAGCGAAUCCUUACAAGCCGAUCUCAGUUCGGAUUGCAGGCUGCAACUCGACUGCGUGAAGUCGGAAUCGCUAGUAAUCGCGAAUCAGAAUGUCGCGGUGAAUACGUUCCC